CCGAGUUUACAACUCCCAAACCCCUGUGAACCGUACCGUGUCGUUGCCUCGGCGGCGCUCCCUCGGGGGCCCGCCAGAGGACCCAAACUCUUGUUUUCGAAUCCAGUAAUCUCUCUGAGUGAAGCAAGCAAUGAAUUA
rnacentral:misc_RNA from 1 species